rfam:Akkermansia muciniphila ATCC BAA-835, complete genome.
CCCGGUGGCCAGAGCGCAGUGGUCCCACCCGGUCCCGUUCCGAACCCGGAAGUGAAACGCUGCCGCGCCAAUGGUAGUCGGACGACAGGUCCCGCAAGAGUAGGUCGCCGCCGGGA